UACGAAGGGGCUAGCGUUGUUCGGAAUCACUGGGCGUAAAGCGCACGUAGGCGGAUCUUUAAGUCAGGGGUGAAAUCCCGGGGCUCAACCUCGGAACUGCCUUUGAUACUGGGGAUCUCGAGUCCGGGAGAGGUGAGUGGAACUGCGAGUGUAGAGGUGAAAUUCGUAGAUAUUCGCAAGAACACCAGUGGCGAAGGCGGCUCACUGGCCCGAUACUGACGCUGAGGUGCGAAAGCGUGGGGAGCAAACAGG
rnacentral:rRNA from 1 species